UACGUAGGUGGCAAGCGUUGUUCGGAAUUAUUGGGCGUAAAGGGCGCGUAGGCGGUUUGUUAAGUCAGCUGUGAAAGCCCGGGGCUCAACCCCGGAGAGUCGACUGAUACUGGCAGACUAGAGUACGGAAGAGGUAGCUGGAAUUCCCGGUGUAGCGGUGAAAUUCGUAGAUAUCGGGAGGAACACCAGUGGCGAAGGCGGCGACCUGGACGGACACUGACGCUGAGACGCGAAAGCGUGGGGAGCAAACAGG
rnacentral:rRNA from 1 species